AUUGAACGCUGGCGGCAGGCCUAACACAUGCAAGUCGAACGAGUGGCGGACGGGUGAGUAAUGUCUGCGAAACCGCCUGAUGGAGGGGGAUAACUACUGGAAACGGUAGCUAAUACCGCAUACCAUCGGAUGUGCCCAGAUGGGAUUAGCUAGUAGGUGGGGGAAAGGCUCACCUGGGCGACGAUCCCUAGCUGGUCUGCGAGGAUGACCAGCCACACUGGAACGGAGACACGGUCCAGACUCCUACGGGAGGCAGCAGUGGGGAAUAUGUCACAAUGGGCGCAAUCCUGAUGCAGCCAUGCCGCGUGUAUGAAGAAGGCCUUCGGGUUGUAAAGUACUUUCAGCGGGGAGGCGUUACCCGCAGAAGAAGCACCGGCUAACUCCGUGCCAGCAGCCGCGGUAAUAC
rnacentral:rRNA from 1 species